CCACCCGUGUUGCCCGAACCUAUGUUGCCUCGGCGGGCCCCGCGCCCGCCGACGGCCCCCCUGAACGCUGUCUGAAGUUGCAGUCUGAGACCUAUAACGAAAUUAGUUAAAACUUUCAACAACGGAUCUCUUGGUUCCGGCAUCGAUGAAGAACGCAGCGAAAUGCGAUAACUAAUGUGAAUUGCAGAAUUCAGUGAAUCAUCGAGUCUUUGAACGCACAUUGCGCCCUCUGGUAUUCCGGAGGGCAUGCCUGUCCGAGCGUCAUUGCUGCCCUCAAGCCCGGCUUGUGUGUUGGGCCCCGUCCCCCCCGCCGGGGGGACGGGCCCGAAAGGCAGCGGCGGCACCGCGUCCGGUCCUCGAGCGUAUGGGGCUUCGUCACCCGCUCUAGUAGGCCCGGCCGGCGCCAGCCGACCCCCAACCUUUAAUUAUCUCAGGUUGACCUCGGAUCAGGUAGGGAUACCCGCUGAACUUAAGCAUAUCAAAAACGGGA
rnacentral:rRNA from 1 species